rnacentral:tRNA from 2 species
CGGGGUGUAGCGCAGCUGGUAGCGCGCUUGGUUUGGGACCAAGAUGCCGCAGGUUCGAAUCCUGUCACUCCGACCA